GGGUUGUGAGGUUAAGCGACUAAGCGUACACGGUGGAUGCCCUGGCAGUCAGAGGCGAUGAAGGACGUGCUAAUCUGCGAUAAGCGUCGGUAAGGUGAUAUGAACCGUUAUAACCGGCGAUUUCCGAAUGGGGAAACCCAGUGUGUUUCGACACACUAUCAUUAACUGAAUCCAUAGGUUAAUGAGGCGAACCGGGGGAACUGAAACAUCUAAGUACCCCGAGGAAAAGAAAUCAACCGAGAUUCCCCCAGUAGCGGCGAGCGAACGGGGAGCAGCCCAGAGCCUGAAUCAGUGUGUGUGUUAGUGGAAGCGUCUGGAAAGGCGCGCGAUACAGGGUGACAGCCCCGUACACAAAAAUGCACAUGCUGUGAGCUCGAUGAGUAGGGCGGGACACGUGGUAUCCUGUCUGAAUAUGGGGGGACCAUCCUCCAAGGCUAAAUACUCCUGACUGACCGAUAGUGAACCAGUACCGUGAGGGAAAGGCGAAAAGAACCCCGGCGAGGGGAGUGAAAAAGAACCUGAAACCGUGUACGUACAAGCAGUGGGAGCACGCUUAGGCGUGUGACUGCGUACCUUUUGUAUAAUGGGUCAGCGACUUAUAUUCUGUAGCAAGGUUAACCGAAUAGGGGAGCCGAAGGGAAACCGAGUCUUAACUGGGCGUUAAGUUGCAGGGUAUAGACCCGAAACCCGGUGAUCUAGCCAUGGGCAGGUUGAAGGUUGGGUAACACUAACUGGAGGACCGAACCGACUAAUGUUGAAAAAUUAGCGGAUGACUUGUGGCUGGGGGUGAAAGGCCAAUCAAACCGGGAGAUAGCUGGUUCUCCCCGAAAGCUAUUUAGGUAGCGCCUCGUGAAUUCAUCUCCGGGGGUAGAGCACUGUUUCGGCAAGGGGGUCAUCCCGACUUACCAACCCGAUGCAAACUGCGAAUACCGGAGAAUGUUAUCACGGGAGACACACGGCGGGUGCUAACGUCCGUCGUGAAGAGGGAAACAACCCAGACCGCCAGCUAAGGUCCCAAAGUCAUGGUUAAGUGGGAAACGAUGUGGGAAGGCCCAGACAGCCAGGAUGUUGGCUUAGAAGCAGCCAUCAUUUAAAGAAAGCGUAAUAGCUCACUGGUCGAGUCGGCCUGCGCGGAAGAUGUAACGGGGCUAAACCAUGCACCGAAGCUGCGGCAGCGACACUAUGUGUUGUUGGGUAGGGGAGCGUUCUGUAAGCCUGUGAAGGUGUACUGUGAGGUAUGCUGGAGGUAUCAGAAGUGCGAAUGCUGACAUAAGUAACGAUAAAGCGGGUGAAAAGCCCGCUCGCCGGAAGACCAAGGGUUCCUGUCCAACGUUAAUCGGGGCAGGGUGAGUCGACCCCUAAGGCGAGGCCGAAAGGCGUAGUCGAUGGGAAACAGGUUAAUAUUCCUGUACUUGGUGUUACUGCGAAGGGGGGACGGAGAAGGCUAUGUUGGCCGGGCGACGGUUGUCCCGGUUUAAGCGUGUAGGCUGGUUUUCCAGGCAAAUCCGGAAAAUCAAGGCUGAGGCGUGAUGACGAGGCACUACGGUGCUGAAGCAACAAAUGCCCUGCUUCCAGGAAAAGCCUCUAAGCAUCAGGUAACAUCAAAUCGUACCCCAAACCGACACAGGUGGUCAGGUAGAGAAUACCAAGGCGCUUGAGAGAACUCGGGUGAAGGAACUAGGCAAAAUGGUGCCGUAACUUCGGGAGAAGGCACGCUGAUAUGUAGGUGAAGUCCCUCGCGGAUGGAGCUGAAAUCAGUCGAAGAUACCAGCUGGCUGCAACUGUUUAUUAAAAACACAGCACUGUGCAAACACGAAAGUGGACGUAUACGGUGUGACGCCUGCCCGGUGCCGGAAGGUUAAUUGAUGGGGUUAGC
rnacentral:rRNA from 1 species